rnacentral:rRNA from 1 species
UACGUAGGCAGCGAGCGUUGUUCGGAGUUACUGGGCGUAAAGGGUGUGUAGGCGGUUGUUUAAGUUUGGUGUGAAAUCUCCCGGCUCAACUGGGAGGGUGCGGCGGAAACUGGAAUGCUAGAGGAUGGGAGAGGUAAGCGGAAUUCCUGGUGUAGCGGUGAAAUGCGUAGAUAUCAGGAGGAACACCUGUGGUGUAGACAGCUUACUGGACCAUUUCUGACGCUGAGACACGAAAGCGUGGGUAGCAAACAGG